rnacentral:rRNA from 1 species
GAUGAACGCUGGCGGCGUGCUUAACACAUGCAAGUCGAACGGCAGCACGGACUUCGGUCUGGUGGCGAGUGGCGAACGGGUGAGUAAUACAUCGGAACGUACCCAGUAAUGGGGGAUAACUAUCCGAAAGGAUAGCUAAUACCGCAUACGCCCUACGGGGGAAAGAGGGGGAUCGCAAGACCUCUUGUUAUUGGAGCGGCCGAUGGCUGAUUAGCUAGUUGGUAGGGUAAAGGCCUACCAAGGCAACGAUCAGUAGCGGGUCUUAGAGGACGAUCGACGACACGGGAACUGAGAGCCGGUCCAGACUCCUACGGGAGGCAGCAGUGGGGAAUCUUGGACAAUGGGGGCAAGCCUGAUCCAGCAAUGCCGCGUGCGUGAAGAAGGCCUUCGGGUUGUAAAGCGCCUUAGUCAGGGAGCAAAUCCUUGUGGCUAAUACCCACCGGGGAUGAGAGUACCUGAAGAAUAAGGACCGGCUAACUACGUGCCAGCAGCCGCCGCAGUAA